AGCGAACGCUGGCGGCAGGCCUAACACAUGCAAGUCGAACGAACCCCUCGGGGUGAGUUGCUGACGGGGGAGUAACACGGGGGAACGUGCCUUUGGGUGCGGAAUGCCUCGGGGAAACGUGUCCUACUACCGAAUGUGCGCUUGGGGGGAAAGCUUAAUCGGCUUAAGAGCGGCCCGCGUCUGAUUAGCUAGUUGGUGGGGUAAUGGCUCACCAAGGCAACGAUCAGUAGCUGGUCUGAGAGGAUGACCAGCCACAUUGGGACUGAGACACGGCCCAAACUCCUACGGGAGGCAGCAGUGGGGAAUCUUGCGCAAUGGGCGAAAGCCUGACGCAGCCAUGCCGCGUGGAUGAUGAAGGUCUUGGGAUUGUAAAAUCCUUUCACCGGUGAAGAUAAUGACUGUAGCCGGAGAAGAAGCCCCGGCUAACUUCGUGCCAGCCGCCGCAGUAAGAC
rnacentral:rRNA from 1 species